CCCUUAGAUGUUCUGGGCUGCACGCGCGCUACACUGAUGCGUUCAACGAGUUUAUAACCUUGCCCGAUAGGGUUGGGUAAUCUUUUGAAAACGCAUCGUGAUGGGGAUAGAUUAUUGAAAUUAUUAAUCUUGAACGAGGAAUUCCUAGUAAACGCAGAUCAUCAAUCUGCAUUGAUUACGUCCCUGCCCUUUGUACACACCGCCCGUCGCACCUACCGAUUGGAUGGUCCGGUGAAGCCUCGGGAUUGUGGUUCUUGCCGCUUUAUUGUGGCGUGACCGCGAGAACUUGUCUAAACCUUAUCAUCUAGAGGAAGGUGAAGUCGUAACA
rnacentral:rRNA from 1 species